AUUCACAAUUCUAAUAAUUUCAUUGAACAAAAGAGAAAUGUUUCGUGUUUAGAUGAAGAAAGAAGUUCCUCGAUAUGGCGUCUGCACUCCAGAUAAUAUGUCUUUGCAGCUAUAUAUUCCCCGAACAGUCGAUAUACGAAGAGUAUAC